CCCUCUAGGCAAGGUCAGCAGAAGGGCACUAGGAAGAAAUUCCUGUUUUUUCCUUAGAGAUCAGAAAGCCUGGGAUGCGAUCCUGUGUCACUGUUUAAGGAGAUCAGUUUGUGUAUGGUGACAGUAUGUAAACAGUGUCGUGGAUCAACCAAGGAAGGUGGGAGUUCACUAUGGAAAAUUUAAAGGCAGCAUAACAACAGAGUCCUGAAUCAUCAUGUCUAUUUGAGCUUGGAAUUUCCCCUGCUGGAAACCUAUAAUCCUUUCCUCUGGACCACAAAGCCUUCAACCUUCACUUCUAAGACAUUUUCUCGGCAAGGGAUUCAGCAGCCUGGCAGUUUAGGAAUGGCGAAGUAAGGGCCAAGGCUUCAUUCCUCAUCAGGACCUAAGUUUUCUUUGUUCGGUUCUGAAGUUUUCCAUCUUCAAACCAUUUCUGAUGAGCCAAGACAGGCAGGGAAUUUUGCCGACAGCAAUGGAGCAGUUUGGAUUCCAAGAAGUUCACCAGUUUUAAUAAGCAUCCGGAUAACGGCAUGUGCAUACUUUAAACCUCAAGUAGUCCUCAGUUCCUACCUCCAGUUUGGAUUCCUACACGGGACAGGCAGAUGCAUCAUAUUUCUUUAACUGAUGCAGGUGGCAUCUGCCCUUACUAACAGGCUGCUCCAAGGUGGGAGUUGGGCACAGGUGACAGGAACACACUGUAAAGUGCCACAGCAGAACAAAAAGAAAUGGAAGCUAAGAAUGGCUCCGGAGUCCAAGCAGAGGGUACCCGCACAGAUGAUGAUGAUUUUAAAUAAAGAUCUUAACCCAGGA